rnacentral:rRNA from 1 species
AGCGCAGGUGGGCUGUCAAGUCUGUCUUAAAAGUGCGGGGCUUAACCCCGUGAUGGGAUAGAAACUGGCAGCCUUGAGUGCAGGAGAGGAAAGCGGAAUUCCUAGUGUAGCGGUGAAAUGCGUAGAUAUUAGGAGGAACACCAGUGGCGAAGGCGGCUUUCUGGACUGUAACUGACACUGAGGCUCGAAAGCCAGGGGAGCGAACG